CGGAGGGUGCAAGCGUUAUCCGGAUUCACUGGGUUUAAAGGGUGCGUAGGCGGGUUGGUAAGUCCGUGGUGAAAUCCCCAAGCUUAACUUGGGAACUGCCGUGGAUACUAUCAAUCCUGAAUAUCGUGGAGGUAAGCGGAAUAUGUCAUGUAGCGGUGAAAUGCUUAGAUAUGACAUAGAACACCAAUUGCGUAGGCAGCUUACUACACGAUCAUUGACGCUGAGGCACGAAAGCGUGGGGAGCAAACAGGAUUAGAUACCCUGGUAGUCCACGCCCUAAACGAUGGAUACUCGACAUCAGCGAUACACUGUUGGUGUCUGAGCGAAAGCAUUAAGUAUCCCACCUGGGAAGUACGAUCGCAAGAUUG
rnacentral:rRNA from 1 species